AUGGCUGCCUACAUUAUCAGACGAGCAUUCUCACGGCACAAUUUGUUUCGCCUACCAACCUGUGCUCUACAUGUUUGUGAAAAUUCCCCUGUUAAACUUUGCAUAUCUGACUCUACCACUAGAGUCUUUACUCUUCCAACUCGCCUAGAUGCCAGGCCGAAGGAUGCAAUGCUGAUCUGUCUCAGGCGAAGCACUACCACCGCUGACAUAAGGUUUGCGAGUUUCACUCCAAGGCAGCCACCGUCAUCGCCGCUGGGUUAA